rnacentral:rRNA from 1 species
AAAGGACUCACGCGUCGACGGGUAGCCGGCCUGAGAGGGCGACCGGCCACACUGGGACUGAGACACGGCCCAGACUCCUACGGGAGGCAGCAGUGGGGAAUAUUGCACAAUGGGCGAAAGCCUGAUGCAGCGACGCCGCGUGAGGGAUGACGGCCUUCGGGUUGUAAACCUCUUUCAGCAGGGAAGAAGCGAAAGUGACGGUACCUGCAGAAGAAGCGCCGGCUAACUACGUGCCAGCAGCCGCGGUAAUACGUAGGGCGCAAGCGUUGUCCGGAAUUAUUGGGCGUAAAGAGCUCGUAGGCGGCUUGUCACGUCGGAUGUGAAAGCCCGGGGCUUAACCCCGGGUCUGCAUUCGAUACGGGCUAGCUAGAGUGUGGUAGGGGAGAUCGGAAUUCCUGGUGUAGCGGUGAAAUGCGCAGAUAUCAGGAGGAACACCGGUGGCGAAGGCGGAUCUCUGGGCCAUUACUGACGCUGAGGAGCGAAAGCGUGGGGAGCGAACAGGAUUAGAUACCCUGGUAGUCCACGCCGUAAACGUUGGGAACUAGGUGUUGGCGACAUUCCACGUCGUCGGUGCCGCAGCUAACGCAUUAAGUUCCCCGCCUGGGGAGUACGGA